rnacentral:rRNA from 1 species
CCUACGGGAGGCAGCAGUGGGGAAUAUUGGGCAAUGGGCGCAAGCCUGACCCAGCAACGCCGCGUGAAGGAAGAAGGCUUUCGGGUUGUAAACUUCUUUUCUCAGGGACGAAGCAAGUGAUGGUACCUUAGGAAUAAGCCACUGCUAACUACGUGCCAGCAGCCGCGGUAAUACGUAGGUGGCAAGCGUUAUCCGGAUUUACUGGGUGUAAGGGCGGUGUAGGCGGGGAAGCAAGUCAGAUGUGAAACCCACGGGCUCAACCUGUGGACUGCAUUUGAACUUGUGUUUCUUGAGUACUGGAGAGGUAGACGGAAUUCCUAGUGUAGCGGGGAAAUGCGUAGAUAUUAGGAGGAACACCAGUGGCGAAGGCGGUCUGCUGGACAGCAACUGACGCUGAGGCGCGAAAGCGUGGGGAGCAAACAGGAUUAGAUACCCCAGUAGUC